AGGCAUUAUCAUCACCCACUUUGAGAUGAGGAAACUGAAGCUUCUUCUCUGAACAUUCCCUCCACUGAUUUGUUUUCAGAGUCUGCCGCCCUCUGAGGCUGCUAAAGCUGCUGAGUGGAGGUUGGAUUCCCUCUCACACCAAAGUUCUUCAGGGUCAGCAAGCGGUGGCUUAUUCAGGUCAGCGUUUGAAUGCAGGUUUACCACACGCUAUGCCUGGAAUGAAUCAUGCUCCCACUUCCCCCUCAGGUAUGCCUGCACUAGUCGUGGAGUGCUCUCGGUUUAUUUUUCCCAUCUUUCAAAUGGGGAAAACAGAGCUGGGGUUGUGGCUCAGUGGUGGAGCGCUUACAUCGCAUGCAUGAGGCACUGGGUUCGAUCCUCGGGACCACAUUAAAAAAAUAAAUAAAUAAAACAAAGAUACUGUGGCCAUCUACAACUAAAACACACAACCCCCCCCCCCCCCCCCCCCACCAAAAAAAUGGGGAAAACACUGCCAGCUCUGGGUUUGUUAAAGGGGAAAUAAAUGAUUGCUAAGGAUACUCAGUGUCCAUCCAGUUAGGGGGCCAUGCUGGACAGUUGGAAUGUCAGAGCUCAAAUUUCAGCUGUGAAAAUACUAGCCACAUGACCGUGGGAGAUUAUUCAACCUCACUACCCUUGAUUUUCCUGGGAAUCUCUUUCACUCUGGU
rnacentral:lncRNA from 1 species